CCAUUUAUAGUUGAAAUAUUGGUAACACCAAGGAAAGCUGUCACAAUUUGAAAAGAUAAUCCAAGACUGAUUUCCAGACACUACAUGAAAAAGGAAGGAAAAAUGCAUCCCAUGAGAAUUUUUGUGAACGAUAAUCGCCAUUUGAUGGCAAAGCAUUCUUCAGUGUUCCCAAUGCAAGAGGAGCUAGAGGCCUUACAGAAUAUGAUAUUUCACACUGAGCAGGCCCUCAAGGCUGUCUCUGACUGGAUUGAUGAGCAGGAUAAAGGCGGCAGCGAGCUCGCUGAGGCAGAAAAUAUGGAUACGCCCCCAGACGAUGAGAGCAAAGAAGGGACUGGAGUGUGACAGAAGACAAGUACAAAAUACUCCAGUCUGUGGAUGAUGCUGAGAUUGUGAUAAAAAACACAAAAGAAUCCCCAUUGUCCUUGACCAUCCACCUGACCUCCCCGUUGUCAGAGAAGAAAUAGAGUAAAUAUUAGCUGGAGAAACGCUGUCAGUCAACGACCCCCCAGACGUUCUGGACAGGCAGAAAAGCCUUGCUGCCUUGGCGUCCCUCCGACACACCAAGUGGUUCCAGGCCAGAGCCAAUGGGCUGAAGUCAUGUGUCAUUGUCAUCUGUGUCCUAAGGGACUUGUGUACCUGAGGGCCCUCCUGGGGUCCCCUCAGAGGAUGACCGCUGGAGCUGCUGUGUGAGAAGUCCAUCGGCACUGCCAAUAGGCCCAUGGGUGCUGGCGAAGCCCUGCGAAGAGUGCUGGAGUGCCUGGCCUCCGGCAUCGUCAUGCCAGAUGGUUCUGGCAUUUAUGACCCUUGUGAAAAAGAAGCCACUGAUGCUAUUGGGCAUCUAGACACACAGCAAUGGGGAGAUAUCACACAGAGUGUGCAGCAUGCUCUGUGGCUCGCUGCUUUUGGUCAACUCCAUAAAGUCCUAGGAAUGGACCCCCUGCCUUCCAAAAUGCCCAAGAAACCAAAGAACAAGAACCUAGUGGACUACACUGUUCAAAUUCCCCCCAGCACCACCUACACCAUCACACCCAUGAAACGCCCCAAUGGAAGAGGAUGGGGAGAAGUCUCCCAGCAAAAAGAAAAAGAAGAUCCAGAAGAAAGAGGAGAAGGCUGAACCUCCCCAAGCUAUGAAUGCCCUGAUGAGGCUGAACCAGCUGAAGCCAGGGCUGCAGUACAAGCUGAUCUCCCAGACAGGUCCUGUUCAUGCCCCCAUCUUCACCAUGUCUGUGGAGGUAGAUGGCAGUACCUUCGAGGCCUCAGGGCCAUCUAAAAAGACUGCCAAACUACAUGUGGCUGUAAAGGUGGUUACAGGACAUGGGCUUGCCAACAGGCGCUGAAGGCAGAGACUCCAGAAAAGGGGAGGACUCAGCCGAGGAGUCAGAUGGGAAGCCAGCCAUAGUGGCCCCAACCCCUGUGGUAGAAGCUGUCUACAACUCCAGUUCUGUCUUCCCUUCAGAUGCCACGACUGAGCAGGGGCCGAUAUUGGCUAAGCAUGGCAAGAACCCAGUUAUGGAGCUUAAUGAGAAGAGGCAUGGUCUCAAAUACGAGCUAAUUUCUGAGACUGGGGGCAGCCACGACAAACUGUUUGUUAUGGAGGUUGAAGUGGAUAGUCAGAAGUUUCAAGGUGCUGGUUCAAACAAAAAGGUGGCAAAGGCUUAUGCUGCUCUUGCUGAGUUAGAAAAGCUUUUUCUUGAUGCCCCCCUUGCCCUUGAAGCCAACAACAACAACAAAAAGAACCCCUGUACCUGUCCGAGGUGGACCCAAAUUUGCUGCCAAGCCACACAACCCUGGCUUUGGCAUGGGAGGCCCCAUGCAUAACGAGGUGUCCCCGCCUCCCAACCUUCGAGGCCUGGGUCGAGGAGGGAACAUCCGUGGGCGAGGACGAGGGCAAGGAUUUGGUGGCGCCAACCAUGGAGGAGGCUACAUAAAUACCGGAUAUGGAAGCUAUGGGUACGGCAGCAAUUCGACCACGGCAGGCUGCAGUAAGUGUCAGUUCUACAGCAAUGGAGGGCAUUCUGGGAAUGCCGGUGGUGGAGGCAGUGGGGGCGGUGGUGGCUCGUCCAGCUACAGCUCCUACUACCAAGGAGACCGCUACAGCUCACCAGUGCCCCCGAAACAUGCUGGGAAGAAGCCGCUGCAUGGGGGUCAGCAGAAACCCUCCUACAGCUCGGGUUACCAGUCCCACCAGGGCCAGCAGCAACCCUACAACCAGAGCCAGUGCAGCAGCUAUGGCAUGCAGCGGGGCAAGCAGAAAGGCUAAGGCCAUGGGCAGGGCAGCUAUUCCUCCUACUCCAACCCUACAGCUCCCCUGGUGGUGGUGGUGGGAAGGGCUCCGACUACAGCUAUGACAACAAAUUCAACUACAGUGGUAGUGGAGGCCGCAGUGGCAUGAACAGCUGUGGCUCCAGUGGGUCCUCCUACAACACGGGUUCACAUGGGGGUUACAGCGGAGGUUCUGGGGGCAGCUCUUCAUGCCAAGGCAAACCAGGAGGCUACUCAUCACAGUCGAACUACAGUUCCUCUGGGUCCAGCCAGAGCUACAGUGGCCCUUCCAGCUCCUACCAGUCCUCACAAGGUGGCUACAGUCGGAACACAGAGCACAGCAUGAACUACCAGUACAGAUAAAGGCCCAGGCUGCCCUCCCUC